UUUUAUUUGCAAGAUGCUGUAUUUUAUUUAUUGAUUCAGCUUUGAUUCACACUCGUUAAACGUACUUUUGUAGUCGAUCGAUUGUGUUUUUACAAGCAUAAUUGACGAUAGUGAAAUGAGAUGCUCACUUAGUAUUCACUAACAUACAUCAGUUAUAUAAUAUUAAGUUUACAUUCAAAUUGUUUUGUACAGUCUAGCGGGUACGAACUCUUGAACAUGGAGCGGACGUAAUGAAAUAGUUUCUAAAACUUUUAACAAUUAUUCAACAACACGGUGGGUCUAGUUUUUGCCCUAGGUAGAAAUUUACUUGAACGUCGUGAAAUUCUUUCGUAACUAUUUCACGAAAAAAAUAAACACAAAACAAAAAGAUUUAAAAUAUGAACAUACAGCGAAAAACAAGUUGUAGCUGCGCAAUUACAUGCACGAAAGGGUAAUAUUUGCGGAAAGUUAAAUAAUCUAUCUUCUAUUUUCAAAACCAGGUUGUUCGCUCAAAUUCUUUUGAAGCACUAAACGGCGCAAUCCGAAAAACGAUAGAUAAUCGAAAGCUUCAUCAACUACAGGAGUAAAGUCUUUUCUUUCAAAAGCCUUCAACAUUGGGUCGGUUGAAUAAACUCGUGCUGAGACCACGUCAGCACCCAUCUCCUUCGCCUCACGAAGUGCUGAAUCUAGGAGAUCAAACGCAUACUGAUAAAAUUUAGGAAUGACAGUCCAGUGGACAAUAGUUGGUGUGUUUUGGUAUGCACCAGGAGCAUUUGCAGGCAAGAUACCUAUAAUACCAAUAACUCGUUCUUUGUCAAUGCGGGCCAUAUAAAAAUGUUUAAGAUUCUCUUCAGCCAAGCAGCCGUCAGGUUGAUUGUCUUCAGUGCUAAUCUUUGCAUACACAUUUCUACAGGGAAAUUCAAUCAACGUCAAAAAGACAGCGCUAACCAAUAUUAAUAAAACAAAAGUUCGUAAUUUUGUAUUUCCUUCUACCAUGUUUGUUAAGCGAUAUAUCCCCAUAAACACCAAACCAAAAACCGCAAGAUACAACGGGUGCCAAAAGAUUUUUUGAGAGAGAUUUCUCGAUUGACCGUUCAACGCAUUCAUGGCAAUCGAUCGAAUACUCGACAGCUCCGCAAGGGUGGGACGACGAAUAUCAAUUCUUUUACGUUGCACAUUCGACAUUUUUAUGUAAUUAAAUAUUCUUUUUUGCUAAUCUUUUUAAAAUUUAUUGUCACAAUAUUUCUUUUACAAUUACCUUCUACUGUGAAAUUUAAGAAGAUGGAGGUUCGUAAGUGGAGUAGGUAAGAAUGAAGCCAUUAUACCACCAUAGAUUUACCCAACCCUUGGUUGUUUCAGUCAAUUUUUGCGAAUUGUAAUUUCAUACAACUAGAAUUUGAUCAAAUCUACCCUCUUAUUAAAUGAUUGAGAUUAUUGAUUCUAUUGAUAAAUCACAUUUAGGGUCAACUAGCUUUUAAAAUGUUUUUAGGAAUAGAAAAGAAUAUUGUGACGAUCGAAGUAACAUUUCUAGCUGAAAUAACAAUUGGAUUUAUAAGCU